rnacentral:rRNA from 1 species
AGUGAACGCUGGCGGUAGGCCUAACACAUGCAAGUCGAACGGCAGCACAGUAAGAGCUUGCUCUUACGGGUGGCGAGUGGCGGACGGGUGAGGAAUACAUCGGAAUCUACUUUUUCGUGGGGGAUAACGUAGGGAAACUUACGCUAAUACCGCAUACGACCUACGGGUGAAAGCAGGGGAUCUUCGGACCUUGCGCGAUUGAAUGAGCCGAUGUCGGAUUAGCUAGUUGGCGGGGUAAAGGCCCACCAAGGCGACGAUCCGUAGCUGGUCUGAGAGGAUGAUCAGCCACACUGGAACUGAGACACGGUCCAGACUCCUACGGGAGGCAGCAGUGGGGAAUAUUGGACAAUGGGCGCAGGCCUGAUCCAGCCAUACCGCGUGGGUGAAGAAGGCCUUCGGGUUGUAAAGCCCUUUUGUUGGGAAAGAAAAGCAGCAGGUUAAUACCCCGCUGUUCUGACGGUACCCAAAGAAUAAACACCGGCUAACUUCGU